rnacentral:rRNA from 1 species
UUUUUAGAAACGGAUACAACCUUGACUAGAGAGUAAAAUCUUAAUACUACCAUAGUAGGCCUAAAAGCAGCCAUCAAUUGAGAAAGCGUUAAAGCUCAACAAAUUCACCAACAUAAUCCCAAAAACUAAUAACAAACUCCUAGCCCAAUACCGGACUAAUCUAUUGAAACAUAGAAGCAAUAAUGUUAAUAUGAGUAACAAGAAGCCUUUCUCCUCGCACACGCUUACAUCAGUAACUAAUAAUAUACUGAUAAUUAACAAUCAAUAAACCAAAACAACACUAAAGCGUUUAUUAACUAUAUUGUUAACCCAACACAGGAGUGCACCAAGGAAAGAUUAAAAGAAGUAAAAGGAACUCGGCAAACACAAACCCCGCCUGUUUACCAAAAACAUCACCUCUAGCAUUACUAGUAUUAGAGGCAAUGCCUGCCCAGUGACACCAGUUUAACGGCCGCGGUAUUCUGACCGUGCAAAGGUAGCAUAAUCACUUGUUCUCCAAAUAAGGACUUGUAUGAAUGGCCACACGAGGGUUUUACUGUCUCUUACUUCCAAUCAGUGAAAUUGACCUUCCCGUGAAGAG